CGGGAUGUAGCGCAGUCCGGUUAGCGCGCCACGUUCGGGACGUGGAGGCCGUGAGUUCAAAUCUCACCAUCCCGA
rnacentral:tRNA from 1 species